GGAAAACACUGUCUGGGUCUUUCCUCCGGCUGCGGGGAGUUUCUCCCCCGAUAGUUGAGAGGAAACUCCCCAGACCCAGUGCUCCCCGUCGUACCCCCGCCUCCGCCUCCUCCUGCCUGCCUGCCCGCUGGGGCGGGCGCCCAGCCGUCUGUCUGUCGGUUCGUCCCCCCCGCCUCGGGGGUCCCGUCCCCGCUCCCGGCCCCUGUGUGUGUCCCAGCGGGAGACGGGCCUGGCUCCCCACCCCACCCCCGGUACAGGGAGUGGGGACCUGGGAGCUGGCGAAGAGGGGAGUGGGCUGAGGGGAGAUUGGCCUUGGGGCUGUUGGGAGAAGUUUCAGGGACUCCCUCCGCACCCCGGCGGUGUCACCACUUUCUCAGCCCCUCUCGCUACUGAAGCGCUUUUCUCUCUCACACUCCGGUUUUAACUCGGGCAGGGGCUGCGGAGGCUCCGCCCCUGACACGUCCCCGAGCCACGUGAUACACCGCCUCGCCGUUCUACUGGUCAGGACCUAUCCUCUCAUUAGCAUAUUUAAACAGCUCAGGGGCGGGGGAAGCUUGUAGGCCGGCUCCGGGGACAGUUAUUGAGCACGCGCAGAGAAAAAGAAAUGGAAACUAAGUAACAUGAAUUAACAUAGUCCAGGGUCACAAAGCAAAAUGGAACAAGAACCUGGAUCUGAAUUCAGAGGCAGAAUGCUGGAAAAGAAUCUAAGCCAGAAUGAGGUUACUGCCUAUGCAAAGAAGAAGACAGCUCAUCACAGGCCUGAGAAUCAGGAGAGUCAAUGGUAUUAGUGCUUGUCCGGAAGCCAUCAUGCUUCAAAACCAAGAAGAGCUGAUUUUCCAGUUGGAGUCUAAAGGAAAGGCCUUGUGAGGACAUAACCAGGAAGAGAGUCCUCACCAGAACCUGACCAUAACUGCACCCUGAUCUCAAGCUUCCAGCUUCCAGAACCAUAAGAAAUCAAUGUUUGUUGUUUUAGCCACCCAGUCUACAGAAAUUUGUUAUAGCCACCCUAGCUGACUACCACAUUGGACAUCACAGCAAACACUACAACCAGUAAGUCUCUGCUUGUAUUAACUGGAACAUUUCCAAAGCCUGUCCUACUCAGGAUAAAUGCACAAAAGAAAAAUAAGUAGUUGACGGCAGAAUUCUUAAGAGAGCAGUUUUGCAUUUUUUACCAAGUAAUACUUAUUUAACUUCUAGGGCAGUAAAGUAAGAGAAAUUGUUACUCUCCACCUCCUGCCAUCACGAAUUUAGGAAAUGUAG
rnacentral:lncRNA from 1 species